ACUAAUUAUCUGUAAUUAUAAUCUGGCCCCAGUCUACUAAUUAUCUGUAAUUAUAAUUUGGCCCCAGUCUACUAAUUAUCUGUAAUUAUAAUCUGGCCCCAGUCUACUAAUUAUCUGUAAUUAUAAUCUGGCCCCAGUCUACUAAUUAUCUGUAAUUAUAAUCUGGCCCCAGUCUACUAAUUAUCUGUAAUUAUAAUCUGGCCCCAGUCUACUAAUUAUCUGUAAUUAUAAUCUGGCCCCAGUCUACUAAUUAUCUGUAAUUAUAAUCUGGCCCCAGUCUACUAAUUAUCUGUAAUUAUAAUCUGGCCCCAGUCUACUAAUUAUCUGUAAUUAUAAUCUGGCCCCAGUCUCCUAAUUAUCUGUAAUUAUAAUCUGGCCCCAGUCUACUAAUUAUCUGUAAUUAUAAUCUGGCCCCAGUCUACUAAUUAUCUGACCCCCUGACCAUCCGCUCAAGAAUUGUUUUUGUCCGCGGCCGAAUCUCGUUGAUGUUCUCUGACACAGGGAACAGGGAACCCUUAGGAACCCGUACCAGUUCACCGAACGGCGCUACAAUCUGUCUCUUCUUCACAAUUUCUCUAUAUUGGAAAACGCUACUCUCCAGCCUUUCGCUCCAGCGAACAAGCUUCAGGAAUAUUAUAACGUAUUGUCACCAUGUACAGCACUUAAGUCUGUAGUCUGUCUGUUCUGUUAUUGUGACUGAGUCUGUCUGUUCUGUUAUUGUGACUGAGUCUUGUCCUUUAUUUGAUUUCAUUUAUAUUUGUUAUUUUGUUUUGUUGCACAAAACUAUCCACACAGCACUUCUUUGCAUCCCAAAAAAGCACAAUAAUUCUCUUUUCUAGUGCACUACUGUUGACCAGGCUCCAUAAUGCUUCAGUUAAAGUAGUGCACUACUGUUGACCGGGCUCCAUAAGGCUUCAGUUAAAGUAGUGCACUACUGUUGACCAGGCUCCAUAAUGCUUCAGUUAAAGUAGUGCACUACUGUUGACCGGGCUCCAUAAGGCUUCAGUUAAAGUAGUGCACUACUGUUGACCAGGCUCCAUAAGGCUUCAGUUAAAGUAGUGCACUACUGUUGACCAGACUCCAUAAGGCUUCAGUUAAAGUAGUGCACUACUGUUGACCAGACUCCAUAAGGCUUCAGUUAAAGUAGUGCACUACUGUUGACCAGGCUCCAUAAGGCUUCAGUUAAAGUAGUGCACUACUGUUGACCAGGCUCCAUAAGGCUUCAGUUAAAGUAGUGCACUACUGUUGACCAGGCUCCAUAAGGCUUCAGUUAAAGCACUAUAGAUACUACAGGGGUUCUCAAACUUUCAUCAGGGACCCCCACUCAUAAUCAGAACUGGAGUGUGAUCUAAAACAGAACAACAGAACUAUACUAGGACAAGGGAAGUACAUGGCCUCCCUCCACACGGAGCCUCCGACCACAUUUUCAGAUCCAGCAUAAAUUGUCGCUUAAGAACAUGCAUUGAAUUAAUCUCAAAAAUUAUUCCACGGAUUUCUUGUACAAAAUGUGUUUAAUCUGUUGUAAAAAAAACAACAACGUAUAUUUGAGAACCCCUGGUCUGGCUGCUGACCCCCUGCAGUACAGACCCCACUUUGAGAACCCCUGCAGUACAGACCCCACUUUGAGACCUGGUCUGGCUGCUGACCCCCUGCAGUACAGACCCCACUUUGAGAACCCCUGCAGUACAGACCCCACUUUGAGACCUCCUGGUCUGGCUGCUGACCCCCUGCAGUACAGACCCCACUUUGAGACCUCCUGGUCUGGCUGCUGACCCCCUGCAGUACAGACCCCACUUUGAGACCUCCUGGUCUGGCUGCUGACCCCCUGCAGUACAGACCCCACUUGGAGAACCCCUGCCUGGACUUACCCAGACACAAAUUAAGAUUAGUAGUCCUGGACAAAACAAUAUUUUUGAUAUAGAUUCUCCUUUGAGCUUUUUAAUCCACGGCUGAGUCAGGGAUUCAAUCCGGUCGCAGGCAAUGUUCCCACGUCCGUGGGGAACCCAUUCACAGUAGACGCUACGUAUGGGGCGGCAGGGUAGCCUAGUGGUUAGAGCGUUGGACUAGUAACCGAAAGGUUGCAAGUUCAAAUCCCCGAGCUGACAAGUCGUUCUACCCCUGAACAGGCAGUUUAACCCGCUGUUCCCAGGCAGCCAAUGGAAAUAAGAAUUUGUUCUUAACUGACUUGCCUAGUAAAAUAAAGGUACAAUUUAAAAAUUAAAAAUAAAUCGGAAAUUACCUUUAAAAAACAACGCUUAUAACCCGCGAUCGGAUUUAAUCCGGUCUAAAUCGCGUGCCCAGGAAACCACCAUCUUUCAGUUACCUAGCCAUAUUGUAACAGACUGUAUUUAAUUAGUUUCAUGUUUCUGACAUGGACAUUAUGGAACUCAUAGGAAAUGCAGGUGUCUGCUAAGUGUCCAUCCUUCAAUGAUGUAUAUUUUGCAAACAUUUGAUUGACAAUUGCUCGUAUGAACUUAAGAGCCAUUGAAUAUGCAUUACUCAGUAUAUCUUGAUUAUACUUGCAAUAGAGGCCACCAUGUUUGGGCAGAAAGCAUUAUUUUGAUAUGUAAUACAGUACUUGCAAUUUACAUGUAUGCAACUGUAGCCUUGGAUACCAGGCGUAGCCAACGAGACCAGAUUUGGAAGGAUGGCUCCGCGAGACUAAUGCAACGGUCUUACCAGUACCGGUCUACUAAAACAAAACUCACUGUGGAUUUGAUCCUCUGAGGUGACUGACUGGAUGUUACCCACUGAGGUGACUGACUGACUGGAUGUUACCCACUGAGGUGACUGACUGACUGGAUGUUACCCACUGAGGUGACUGACUGACUGGAUGUUACCCACUGAGGUGACUGACUGACUGGAUGUUACCCACUGAGGUGACUGACUGACUGGAUGUUACCCACUGAGGUGACUGACUGACUGGAUGUUACCCACUGAGGUGACUGACUGACUGGAUGUUACCCACUGAGGUGACUGACUGACUGGAUGUUACCCACUGAGGUGACUGCCUGCCUGUUACCCACUGAGGUGACUGCCUGCCUGUUACCCACUGAGGUGACUGACUGGAUGUUACCCACUGAGGUGACUGCCUGCCUGUUACCCACUGAGGUGACUGACUGGAUGUUACCCACUGAGGUGACUGACUGGAUGUUACCCACUGAGGUGACUGCCUGCCUGUUACCCACUGAGGUGACUGCCUGCCUGUUACCCACUGAGGUGACUGCCUGCCUGUUACCCACUGAGGUGACUGACCGACUGCCUUCAGGAUGUUUAUACCCCAACAAGAUGCCUUAUGACCUUGUCAUCGCAACAAGGAAAUGUCUGUAUAUCUAUAUGCACUUAGUCUUCCUCUGUCCCAGUACUAUCAUGUAGCAUUUGUAUAGGUAUGUAUGCCUUUUGUAUGAAUAAAUAUUUGUAAUAUUUAA